GUGUCAGCAGCCGCGGUAAUACGGAGGGUGCAAACGUUGCUCGGAAUCAUUGGGCGUAAAGCGCACGUAGGCGGUCCGUUAUGUCGGGUGUGAAAGCCCUCGGCUUAACCGAGGAAGUGCAUUCGAAACUGGCGGACUGGAGUACCGGAGAGGGUCGCGGAAUUCCCGGUGUAGAGGUGAAAUUCGUAGAUAUCGGGAGGAACACCAGUGGCGAAGGCGGCGACCUGGACGGAUACUGACGCUGAGGUGCGAAAGCGUGGGGAGCAAACAGGAUUAGAUACCCGGGUAGUCC
rnacentral:rRNA from 1 species